AGUGGGGAAUCUUGGACAAUGGGCGCAAGCCUGAUCCAGCCAUGCCGCGUGAGUGAUGAAGGCCUUAGGGUCGUAAAGCUCUUUCGCCAGGGAUGAUAAUGACAGUACCUGGUAAAGAAACCCCGGCUAACUCCGUGCCAGCAGCCGCGGUAAUACGGAGGGGGUUAGCGUUGUUCGGAAUUACUGGGCGUAAAGCGUACGUAGGCGGAUCAGAAAGUUGGGGGUGAAAUCCCGGGGCUCAACCCCGGAACUGCCUCCAAAACUCCUGGUCUUGAGUUCGAGAGAGGUGAGUGGAAUUCCGAGUGUAGAGGUGAAAUUCGUAGAUAUUCGGAGGAACACCAGUGGCGAAGGCGGCUCACUGGCUCGAUACUGACGCUGAGGUACGAAAGUGUGGGGAGCAAA
rnacentral:rRNA from 1 species